rnacentral:sRNA from 1 species
GCAGAGCGACGCAGGAGGGAGAAGCU